GGUCGGCCUACUUCUCGUCAGCAGUUCUGCCUCGAUCUCUUCUAAUUCCUCUUCUCGUUUCGCCAGAAAUUGACCCCCAGAUACAGUGAUUGCUUCAAUGACGGUCACAAGAAUAACUCCAUCGGGUGCUUCUGGCCUUUGUAUGCCAUCACUACCGUCACAUGGCCUAGGAUCUGAUGAGGUGUGCCGCCCGCAGUUUGUACCGAUAUUGUUUUCGCGUCUUUUAGCUUAAGCUUCAAUUCUUCAAUGAUCUCUAAUCCCCCUCUUCCCAGCAGGCUCACUGAUGCCCCCGUAUCGAGCAGUCCCAUCAGCGUCUUCGGGCUCA
rnacentral:lncRNA from 1 species